UGAGAAGCAAGCUUUCUAAAAAAUGCAACAUAAAAUGAAAUUUAUAGUAUUCCUAUGUCUACUGUCUACGCUGGUACUAUGUUUGAGGGCAGAACAAGAGCUGAAUGUUUYAAAAAGAGGAGACAUUCCCUGGCAGAAUUGGAUUUUACGCCCACCAUUUUGCAUUCCAUACGGUAAUGUAUGUCCUAAAGGUGGUGCCAGACUAUGYUGCUCUUGGAGGUGCUACCCUGUUCACGGAUACAGAAAGCCGUGGAGGUGCGUGUGAAACGAAAAUUGGAAACAAUGGCAGUCCUAUAGUUAUUUAAAGACGUUAAAAAUAUUUUAGAAACAGUUAAAUAUACUUUAAUACUUUUAUAGUUUAUAUAAACACGUUUGACGUGCAUGUACUACCUUCAAU